rnacentral:rRNA from 1 species
GAUGAACGCUGGCGGCGUGCCUAAUACAUGCAAGUCGAGCGAACAGACGAGGAGCUUGCUCCUCUGACGUUAGCGGCGGACGGAUGAGUAACACGUGGAUAACCUACCUAUAAGACUGGGAUAACUUCGGGAAACCGGAGCUAAUACCGGAUAAUAUAUUGAACCGCAUGGUUCAAUAGUGAAAGACGGUUUUGCUGUCACUUAUAGAUGGAUCCGCGCCGCAUUAGCUAGUUGGUAAGGUAACGGCUUGCCAAGGCAACGAUGCGUAGCCGACCUGAGAGGGUGAUCGGCCACACUGGAACUGAGACACGGUCCAGACUCCUACGGGAGGCAGCAGUAGGGAAUCUUCCGCAAUGGGCGAAAGCCUGACGGAGCAACGCCGCGUGAGUGAUGAAGGUCUUCGGAUCGUAAAACUCUGUUAUUAGGGAAGAACAAAUGUGUAAGUAACUAUGCACGUCUUGACGGUACCUAAUCAGAAAGCCACGGCUAACUACGUG